rnacentral:rRNA from 1 species
GACACAGGUGCUGCAUGGCUGUCGUCAGCUCGUGCGUGAGAUGUUGGUUAAGUCCGUAACGAGCGCAACCCUUGUCCUUAGUUACCAGCACGUUAUGGUGGGCACUCUAAGGAGACUGCCGGUGACAAACCGAGGAAGGUGGGGAUGACGUCAAGUCAUCAUGGCCCUUACGGCCUGGGCUACACACGUGCUACAAUGGUCGGUACAAAGGGUUGCCAAGCCGCGAGGUGGAGCUAAUCCCAUAAAACCGAUCGUAGUCCGGAUCGCAGUCUGCAACUCGACUGCGUGAAGUCGGAAUCGCUAGUAAUCGUGAAUCAGAAUGUCACGGUGAAUACGUUCCCGGGCCUU